CCCUUAGUAGCGGCGAGCGAAACGGGAAGAGCCCAAACCAACAAGCUUGCUUGUUGGGGUUGUAGGACACUCUAUACGGAGUUACAAAGGACGACAUUAGACGAAUCAUCUGGAAAGAUGAAUCAAAGAAGGUAAUAAUCCUGUAGUCGAAAAUGUUGUCUCUCUUGAGUGGAUCCUGAGUACGACGGAGCACGUGAAAUUCCGUCGGAAUCUGGGAGGACCAUCUCCUAAGGCUAAAUACUCUCUAGUGACCGAUAGUGAACCAGUACCGUGAGGGAAAGGUGAAAAGCACCCCGGAAGGGGAGUGAAAUAGAACCUGAAACCGUGUGCUUACAAGUAGUCAGAGCCCGUUAAUGGGUGAUGGCGUGCCUUUUGUAGAAUGAACCGGCGAGUUACGAUUUGAUGCAAGGUUAAGCAGUAAAUGUGGAGCCGUAGCGAAAGCGAGUCUGAAUAGGGCGUUUAGUAUUUGGUCGUAGACCCGAAACCAGGUGAUCUACCCUUGGUCAGGUUGAAGUUCAGGUAACACUGAAUGGAGGACCGAACCGACUUACGUUGAAAAGUGAGCGGAUGAACUGAGGGUAGCGGAGAAAUUCCAAUCGAACCUGGAGAUAGCUGGUUCUCUCCGAAAUAGCUUUAGGGCUAGCCUCAAGUGAUGAUUAUUGGAGGUAGAGCACUGUUUGGACGAGGGGCCCCUCUCGGGUUACCGAAUUCAGACAAACUCCGAAUGCCAAUUAAUUUAACUUGGGAGUCAGAACAUGGGUGAUAAGGUCCGUGUUCGAAAGGGAAACAGCCCAGACCACCAGCUAAGGUCCCAAAAUAUAUGUUAAGUGGAAAAGGAUGUGGCGUUGCCCAGACAACUAGGAUGUUGGCUUAGAAGCAGCCAUCAUUUAAAGAGUGCGUAAUAGCUCACUAGUCGAGUGACACUGCGCCGAAAAUGUACCGGGGCUAAACAUAUUACCGAAGCUGUGGAUUGUCCUUUGGACAAUGGUAGGAGAGCGUUCUAAGGGCGUUGAAGCAUGAUCGUAAGGACAUGUGGAGCGCUUAGAAGUGAGAAUGCCGGUGUGAGUAGCGAAAGACGGGUGAGAAUCCCGUCCACCGAUUGACUAAGGUUUCCAGAGGAAGGCUCGUCCGCUCUGGGUUAGUCGGGUCCUAAGCUGAGGCCGACAGGCGUAGGCGAUGGAUAACAGGUUGAUAUUCCUGUACCACCUAUAAUCGUUUUAAUCGAUGGGGGGACGCAGUAGGAUAGGCGAAGCGUGCGAUUGGAUUGCACGUCUAAGCAGUAAGGCUGAGUAUUAGGCAAAUCCGGUACUCGUUAAGGCUGAGCUGUGAUGGGGAGAAGACAUUGUGUCUUCGAGUCGUUGAUUUCACACUGCCGAGAAAAGCCUCUAGAUAGAAAAUAGGUGCCCGUACCGCAAACCGACACAGGUAGUCAAGAUGAGAAUUCUAAGGUGAGCGAGCGAACUCUCGUUAAGGAACUCGGCAAAAUGACCCCGUAACUUCGGGAGAAGGGGUGCUCUUUAGGGUUAACGCCCAGAAGAGCCGCAGUGAAUAGGCCCAAGCGACUGUUUAUCAAAAACACAGGUCUCUGCUAAACCGUAAGGUGAUGUAUAGGGGCUGACGCCUGCCCGGUGCUGGAAGGUUAAGAGGAGUGGUUAGCUUCUGCGAAGCUACGAAUCGAAGCCCCAGUAAACGGCGGCCGUAACUAUAACGGUCCUAAGGUAGCGAAAUUCCUUGUCGGGUAAGUUCCGACCCGCACGAAAGGCGUAACGAUUUGGGCACUGUCUCAACGAGAGACUCGGUGAAAUCAUAGUACCUGUGAAGAUGCAGGUUACCCGCGACAGGACGGAAAGACCCCGUGGAGCUUUACUGUAGCCUGAUAUUGAAAUUCGGCACAGCUUGUACAGGAUAGGUAGGAGCCUUUGAAACGUGAGCGCUAGCUUACGUGGAGGCGCUGGUGGGAUACUACCCUAGCUGUGUUGGCUUUCUAACCCGCACCACUUAUCGUGGUGGGAGACAGUGUCAGGCGGGCAGUUUGACUGGGGCGGUCGCCUCCUAAAAGGUAACGGAGGCGCUCAAAGGUUCCCUCAGAAUGGUUGGAAAUCAUUCAUAGAGUGUAAAGGCAUAAGGGAGCUUGACUGCGAGACCUACAAGUCGAGCAGGGUCGAAAGACGGACUUAGUGAUCCGGUGGUUCCGCAUGGAAGGGCCAUCGCUCAACGGAUAAAAGCUACCCCGGGGAUAACAGGCUUAUCUCCCCCAAGAGUUCACAUCGACGGGGAGGUUUGGCACCUCGAUGUCGGCUCAUCGCAUCCUGGGGCUGUAGUCGGUCCCAAGGGUUGGGCUGUUCGCCCAUUAAAGCGGUACGCGAGCUGGGUUCAGAACGUCGUGAGACAGUUCGGUCCCUAUCCGUCGUGGGCGUAGGAAAUUUGAGAGGAGCUGUCCUUAGUACGAGAGGACCGGGAUGGACAUACCUCUGGUGUACCAGUUGUCGUGCCAACGGCAUAGCUGGGUAGCUAUGUGUGGACGGGAUAAGUGCUGAAAGCAUCUAAGCAUGAAGCCCCCCUCAAGAUGAGAUUUCCCAACUUCGGUUAUAAGAUCCCUCAAAGAUGAUGAGGUUAAUAGGUUCGAGGUGGAAGCAUGGUGACAUGUGGAGCUGACGAAUACUAAUCGAUCGAAGACUUAAUCAA
rnacentral:rRNA from 1 species